CCUACGGGAGGCAGCAGUGAGGAAUAUUGGUCAAUGGACGAGAGUCUGAACCAGCCAAGUAGCGUGAAGGAUGACUGCCCUAUGGGUUGUAAACUUCUUUUAUAUGGGAAUAAAACGUUCCACGUGUGGGAUUUUGUAUGUACCAUAUGAAUAAGGAUCGGCUAACUCCGUGCCAGCAGCCGCGGUAAUACGGAGGAUCCGAGCGUUAUCCGGAUUUAUUGGGUUUAAAGGGAGCGUAGGUGGAUUGUUAAGUCAGUUGUGAAAGUUUGCGGCUCAACCGUAAAAUUGCAGUUGAAACUGGCAGUCUUGAGUACAGUAGAGGUGGGCGGAAUUCGUGGUGUAGCGGUGAAAUGCUUAGAUAUCACGAAGAACUCCGAUUGCGAAGGCAGUUCACUGGACUGCAACUGACACUGAGGCUCGAAAGUGUGGGUAUCAAACAGGAUUAGAUACCCUUGUAGUU
rnacentral:rRNA from 1 species